rnacentral:rRNA from 1 species
CUGUUUGGGUACUACGAUUGUUUAAAACUCAAAGAAUUUGGCGGCUAGUUAACUAAUUAGGGGAAUAUGUGCCUUAAUUCGAAAGUACGCGUUUGAUCAUACCACAUCUUGAAGAUAGACAGCCGGUGUACUGCCGUUGUCAGCUGGUGGUGUGAGCUAAUAGAAACCAGCUCAAAGGAGGCUAGAGUCCAUAAUACAGGUCAAAGUGCUGCCAAUGGUGUUGGGGAGCAGGUGUUACAUUCUAUAUUUUAGAUACGGAUUCCGUUUAACUCUGAAGGUGGACUUAAAAGUAAACAGAUAUUAGGAUGUUUUUUUGGAUAAGCUUGGCUAGUGUACAAACUGCCCGUCGCUCUCGAC